rnacentral:rRNA from 1 species
UACGUAGGGUGCGAGCGUUGUCCGGAAUUAUUGGGCGUAAAGGGCUCGUAGGCGGUGUGUCGCGUCGGCCGUGAAAACCUGCAGCUUAACUGUGGGCGUGCGGUCGAUACGGGGCAUCACUGGAGUUCGGCAGGGGAGACUGGAAUUCCCGGUGUAGUGGUGAAAUGCGUAGAUAUCGGGAGGAACACCAGUGGCGAAGGCGGCUCGCUGGGCCAUUCCUGACGCUGAGACGCGAAAGCUAGGGGAGCGAACAGG